GAUUGAUAUUGCUAUUGCCAAUAAAUAGUCAGCAACAUAACAGAUUUUUCAAAAAGAGUCAAAUAAUUGAUUGUCAUUGUUGUCGAUUGGUAACAAUGGAUACUGUACAUUGUUCAUAUCUUAACACUUAGCCAACCGAAUAGGGAAAUCUGCCCUCUGUGAAGAACAUCGCUGCGUGACCGAACUGGAAGAUCUCCCUUUUUGACUUUAGCAACGCGUUUUCUUUUCUUUUUGUUGUUGUUAUUAGUUAUUGUUUACCUGGAAUUAUUAUUUCCCAAAUAAUUGCGCCACUUUUUCUGCUUUUAUAAAGUACAGUAUAUAAUAAGAUACAGCAACUUAGUGGUGUUAAAAUGAAUUAAAAAGCUACACUAUCAGUUAUGACUAAAUAAAGUUGUAAUCGAACGAUACGACGCUGUAAAAAAAUAUUAAAAUGCAUUAUGAAUUUUUACGUUCAAAUCGCGUUAUUUAUCUUUGGUCAUCUUUAAUGUUUUCAAUUUUGCCUAUAUUUUUGUAUACUUUUAAUAUAUACUUUUAAUUUGAUGUUUUGUAUAAACGAUAUGUGAAAUCGUUAAAUAAAAUCAUUACCGCAAAUAUAAUUAACCACUUAAAUCAUUUUUACACUUGUUUAUUUUUUAAGUAGCGAAUAUUAGUCCUCGAUACUUGGAAAAAUGCGCGGUUGGCUAAGUGUUAAAGAAAGAUUUCGACAAAUCCAAGUUAUUAUUUUCUUAUACUAAUAAAUUACACUAUAAUACAAGAUAAUUAAUAAUAUAACAUAUAUUAUAAUAUAAUAUAAAUAAUAUAAUACAAGAAGUUAUACCAAAUUAUCAUUUUCCAAUCGGAUUAACAUGCUUGAAGCGUAUUUGGCUUUGUGAACAGUUAACAAUAAGAUUAGGGAAGCUGAUAUAAACUUUAUAAUCAGGUAUUCGCUAUCGGAAAUUGGAUGGAAAUGAAAAGGCGCAGUUUCUUUCUUUCUUUCUUUUUCGAUGUUGGUUAUCGAUAUCCUGAAACCCGAUGAGAUAAAAUAAAAACUUGAGAAAAUGUUGAUCAUGUUGAAGUAUCGUAAUCGAUUUGAUUUUAAUAAAUCGACGUUUGCACUAUAACAGCGCGUGAAAAAUAAAACCAGAUUACUAUUUAUUAGAAAGUAGUUUUUUUCCUAUAAGCGAACAUGCUUAUUAUUCAAGAAUCGUACUGUGUUGUUAAAUUGCACGGGAUGCUUUAACAAUUUAAAUGCAAUGCUGUUUCCGCGCCACUGAAAUUCCAAUUAUCAGACAGAUAAAAUUUAACAAACGAAAAGAAUCGAAGUUCUUUUUGAAAAUCUUUCCAAGUUAUUUAUUCCCUCUAAUUUAUCACUCGUUUAGCCAUUACGUAUAAAGUAGUCUAGUAUCGUGGUCGAAUAGCCUACGAGAUAUCGCGUGAACCAUAAAUAAUGUCACGAGAAAGCCGAAGUGUCAUCUAUGUAUCGUCGGUCCUUCAAUCUAACAGUUACGCGGAAAAAAGGCCUACGUGACUCUGGCCACGAACGGUUGCGGAACACGUGCGUGGUGGGGCUACGAGAAAAAACGAAGAGAUGCUAAGGGAGAAAGACGAAUUAACAGUCAGUGUGAGUUGAGAAGUCAGAGAGCGUGCAUUGUGUUAUCGAGAGAGUGUUGCUAGUGUUGUCAAGAGAGUGUUGCUAGUGUUGUCGAGAGAGUGCGGUCUGCGCGAGAGAGAGCGUUGGAACCGUAGUAACGAGAGUUGUAGAUUAACUAUUUAGUUGCUUAGUUGUGGCACGUUAUUGUAUUUAGUUCACGUUAAAUAACCAUCAUUUCCUGUUUAACCAACACCUGUUUAAUCCAUGUUUAAAUCAAAUAAUAAUAAGAUCCUACAGUAGCGAACGAAGAAACAGACAAAGUUAUUUAAUGAUCGUGAAACGAAGAAGCGCGUCCAGUCGGUUUGAAAUCCAAUUACAGAUAGUUACGGUAAUAUAAAACCGCCUUUGUUCUAUUUCACUCCCUCUUUCAAUCUACUUUCCAUUGUGUUUCGAUAGUCCGAUAAAUUUCAAAACCCUUUCGAAAUAACACCAAUCGCCUUUCUUUCUAAAAAUCGUUCGCUCCUGUCGAAUGUAUCAAAAACAUCGGUUUUGUUUCAACUUUGUUAGUUUCCAUAUUUCCCUCCCUCGAUAUCACGUAUUUACUUCGAUCCAGCGAAUUUAUCUCACAGCAGUCAAAACCAUCGGCAUCGAUUCCUCAGGCUAUGUAUUGCGAAAUUUUUCGGACCGUUGUAUGUUGAAUUUUGUCUUGUCUGUUAUUCUUUGUAUUAGAAUUUUGUCGACGCUCAAAACCAACAAUUUCGCACAAGAUUAUUUCAAAUAUACAAAGUGGUUGGUAACUGGUGAUGCAAGCGGAAAGGGGGUGAUUCUACGCGAAAAAAGAAGUCGAAAAUAUAGAAUAAAAAUUUUUCGUUCGAGGCUUUGUUUUCGAGAAAAUCGACUUUGAAUUUUCGUUCGGUACGCGUGCGAUACGUUAUAACAUAUCUCACUGUAGAUCGUUGUCUCGAAGGAAAAAUUUGAAAAAAAAAAAAAAGAUUUUUAUUCUAUAUUUUCGACUUCUCUUUUCGCGUAGAAUCGCCCCCUCUCCGCUUGUACCGCCAGUUACCAACCACUCUGUAUAUCAUUAAUUUCAUUCCAACUUUGAUCGCGCGUUUAAAAUAAAACGAUCAUUGCGAUGUAUUGAAAAUAUUGAGUUGGCAACUAAGUGAUUGCGGAUUUGGUCAUUAGGUUGUAAUGACAAAUUUCGCAAUCACUUAGUUGUCAAUUCAAUAGGUUAAGUUAAAAACGAGUGCACGUUUAACGAAAACGUUACACGAAAUACACAAUCUAUGUGCGAUCGAUAAUGAACCUGAUCGAAAGUACUUUUUCUUUUUGUAUUUCCCUUUUGCAAAUUGUUUUCACAAAAUUGCUUUGUUAUAUGAAAGUAUGCUUUUUAAAAAUCAUUUACAUUUUCAAUCUGUUACUGACAAUUUAUAACAAAAAUUAUUUUAUGAAAUAGGCCGUAAUUCUAUAAAAGUAGCAAAAUGACACAUAGGUGUAAAGAAAAUGGAAGUCAAAGUGAAUUAUUGUUUGAUGAUUUAUCUGAUGCAGCAAAUAACACUUGCGACGAAAAUGAAUUCACUGAUAGCAGCAAUAUUCCUGAACUAAUUGAUGUGAUUAGACGUAGAAGAAGACUGAAUAAAAAAUAUAAUACCAAACGCAAAUUAAAAACGUGCAUAUAUGCAUCCUAUUGCUUGCUGCGCAUGCGUUAAAAAAUCUGCAGGCCCUGGGAACGCGUUGAGCGUGCAGAGCGCUGUACGCAGUGUGUUAAGAAAGGGAAUUAUCUGGAAGAAUACAGAAGUUUGUUCUUGUGAGUAGCGGUUUUUUCGCUGUUCGUGUUAAGAGGCAUUUAAGAGAUUGUCCUGAGAUUUUCGUUAGAAACUUGAAGUAAAUUACAUAGAAUAUACUAGUUUGUCAACUAAGUGAUUGCGGAUUUUGUCAUUAGGUGGUAUAUUGGUGUGGCAACUAAGUGAUUGCGGAUUUUGUCAUUACCACCUAAUGACAAAAUCCGCAAUCACUUAGUUGCCACACCAAUACUAUAAGCGAAAAUAACUGAGUUUUUACCCACGAAGAAAGUAGAGUGAAAGAAAUUUUGAUUUUCACGUAAGUUGCGAAAUAUUUCAUCUUCGUUGAGUAUUGCAUGAUAACGCAAUUGACUUGUAAUUAAUCGCAAGGGAACGAGAGUUGGUUAGAUAUCGGAGAAAUUCGCGGCAAACCGCAAUGUCACUUCGACGCUUAAUCAUCUGACGGUAUGGGGAUCGAUUCAGACAUUUUCUCCGAAGUAUCAAUCGCAAUUAGUAGCAAAGCGUUUCGAGCGUAACCUUUAACAAGAACGUGCAUACGAUGCAAAGGUCGUACAAUGAGAAAAAAGAAUCAACGAAAGCAAACCCAUUGAUGUGUUAAACGUGGAAAACGAGGCACUGCAUUCUGGCGAAGCAAUUGCGAUUCAAUAAGUUUCGUUGGGUACGUUGUUGCCUGUCAUUGAAUUACAUAUGUGUUGAACUGUAACAAACUGCAGCAGCUCGAUUGUUUUCGAACAAUCGCAACACAUUCGAUAACUGUUUCGCCUGAUUUUUUAUUUUAUCGUAAAUUGCAUGGAAGAAUUAACCGUUUGCACUCGACAGCCCUUUCGGUUGCGUGUAGCAGCAACUCGAGGUGAUUUGCAAUGUGAUAUGUGAUGAGCGUCUUGUGGGUAAUAUAAAAUGAUUUUAUACAAAAAUUAAUUUAAAAAAACAUUGUAUUUUAAUAAUCUAUAUAUAUUUGCAUCUUUGAACAUAUCACUUUUUAAUAUUUUUUCUGUAUUUUUUUAUGAUAAUUUAUAAAACAUCUGCAUAAGUUGUUUCGUGUCUUUCUCCUGCUUUGUUUCAGUAAGAAAACACCUUACAGUACUUUUCUCUUCCUGUUAAAAUUACAUGCAGCUUUCCAUUUAAUCGAAUUUCAACACAAUUAGCAGUCGAUGUGGAAGCGCGAGCUUGUGGCUGUCAAAUAUUUCCUCCCAACUGAUCUACUGAAGUUUUUAUAAAUCGCAGGUGGUUAAGUGGCCUUUCGUUCUUUUGCUUUUUUACAGAGUGUAUGAAUUAAUUAAACAAAUUUCCAAAUCCAAAUAAAGAGCUAAGGAAUCUAUUUACGAACCAAUACUGCGCUCUCAUCUGAGGAAAAUAGCCUUUCGAGUGUAAAGGGUUAAUGGUUAUAACAAUUAAAAAGAUCGAUAGUAUAGGAAUUUUUUAUUUAUUUAGAAAUAUUGGAAAUUAGGGUUUCCAAUGAUUUCUAUCCUAUAUGAUAAGUUUAUUGAUCGAUAGAUCUAUUUACAAUGGAUUAAACAGGAAACGGUGGUUAUUUAACGUGAACUAAGUACAGUAAUGUGCUAUAACUAAAACAACUAAAUAGUUAAUUCACGACUCACAGUUAAUAGUUUAUAACUCGUAAUAACUCGGCAAUUCAACUCACUACUAUUCCACUCCAAUCUCGCAACCCCACUCCUCACCACUCGACUCCCCACCACUCGACUCCCCACUCACGACUAUUCCACUUGACUCUCUAUAAUAAGGAGCUGUUUCAGAAAUUCGAGAAGUGUCAGUGCAAUGCUGCGUUCUUUGGAAUCCACAGUUACCUAUUCUGUAGCUACUUGUAGUAGACGGCGGUUUCGCUAGCUACACUCGUAAAGGGCGUAUGCGGUAUUAACGUGUCGCGAGUUCGAAACCAUUCCUGGGCAUAUUUGCAAUGGUGGAAAGCCAAAUAUCUUCUAGAAGUAAUAUACAACGGGCAAGUGGGUUCCCCCCCUGCCUAUCAUGUUGGUAGUACUUCCUAGAGUGCUUGGCAAGUACUUCCCAGUUUUGAGUCACUUGCGCUGACUACCCAGCCCCGCCCGUGGGGUUUUAGCCGGUAAAAAUCCGGCACCCUUGUCCCCCGCCCCGUGCGAUGAGAUAAGGUGUCUAUGAAGAUUUCCCCACGGAAAAAAAAAAAAAAAAUUUUUUUUGCAACCAAGGCCCUAGCCGCGCUGAGUGCACUCGUUCCCGUCAGUUUUCAGGACAGAAAAAAAUAAAAAAAAUUUAUAAAAAAGCUCCGCUACCCAGCGGCUUAAACCCAAAAAUUGUAUUAUACAACGAAAAAUGUAAGGUGCCGACGCAUAAUACAGCAUGGCUACGUCGUACCGCCGCAUAUCGGUACCUUUGCCUAACAUAUCAUUACAAAAAUUCACCGUUUAUUGUGAACACCAUAAUGUAUUUAUAAUUGUAUAUUGGGUUUAAAUAAACAUUUAAAAAAAAAAAAAAAAAAAAAA